GGGGACUCCAGAUGUGCGCACAGACACCAGGCUCAAUAAAGCCAUCUGGGCCAAAGGAAUAAGGAAUGUUCCGUACCGCAUCCGAGUAUGUUUGUCUAGAAAGCAUAAUGAGGAUGAGGAUUCACCAAACAAACUCUACACACUGGUAACUUACGUGCCUGUUACCACAUUCAAAAAUCUACAGACGGUCAAUGUGGAUGAGAACUAACUGCUGAAUGUCAAAUAAAGUUACAGAACUGCCAAAAAAAAAAAAAAAA
rnacentral:lncRNA from 1 species